AAGUUCGGUUUGCUAAGCCUCCUGAGAAGGGAUGAACUUGAUAUUGUUUUAGCCUUUGAUCAGAUUAUGCCGGUAAAGGUUUUCUGGUUUACCCUAUAGGGCUUGUAGCUCAGUUGGUUAGAGCGCGCGCUUGAUAAGCGUGAGGUCGGAGGUUCAAGUCCUCCCAGGCCCACCAGUUACACGAUGCUAAAAGUUGCUAUAUUGGGAGAGUUGAUAAUCCCUUACAGGAAAUUAUUGCCCUUAAUAAAACUUUAUUUUCUAAAAGCAUUCAGAGCUGACAUAGAAUAGAGCUGACAUAGAAUUGAGAAUCUGACAUAGGAAUUAUUGAAAUUGUAAAUUUGGAAUUAUUGAAAUUGUUUUCUAAGUCAUUUUAAAAGGCUAAAAUAUUCUGUCUCUAUUUUUAAAUGCUCAUAGACAUCAGGUGUUUUGUAAGAGUGUG
rnacentral:misc_RNA from 1 species